rnacentral:miRNA from 1 species
UUAGGUUGGUGCAAAAGUAAUUGCAGUUUUUGUCACUUUUAAUUGCAAAAGCUGCAAUUACUUUUGCACCAACCUCAUAAUUUA